AGAUAAUAGAUACCCCGGUAGUCCUGGCCGUAAACGAUGUCGACUAGAUCGCAGAUCCUCUGACGGAUUUGCGGUCGAAAGCAAAAGUGCUAAGUCGACCGCCUGGGAAGUACGGUCGCAAGGCUAAAACUCAAAGGAAUUGACGGGGGCUCACACAAGCGGUGGAGCAUGUGGUUCAAUUCGAAGCAACGCGCAGAACCUUACCUGGGCUUGACAUGCUUGGAUUAUCCCUAUGAAAGUAGGGUAGGCCCUUCGGGUACGAACAAGUACAGGUGCUGCAUGGCUGUCGUCAGCUCGUGUCGUGAGAUGUCGGGUUUAAGUCCCUUAACGAGCGAAACCUUUGCCCUUAGUUACCAGCGGGUUAUG
rnacentral:rRNA from 1 species